rnacentral:rRNA from 1 species
GGAAUUUUGCGCAAUGGGGGAAACCCUGACGCAGCAACGCCGCGUGGGUGAGGAAGGCCUUCGGGUUGUAAAGCCCUUUCAGCAGGGAAGAAAAAACUGACGGUACCUGCAGAAGAAGCACCGGCUAACUCCGUGCCAGCAGCCGCGGUAAUACGGAGGGUGCGAGCGUUAUUCGGAUUUACUGGGCGUAAAGGGCGCGUAGGCGGUUUAGUAAGUCUGGUGUGAAAUCCCACGGCUUAAUCGUGGAAGUGCAUUGGAUACUGCUAGACUAGAGUACUGGAGGGGAGAACGGAAUUCCUGGUGGAGAGGUGAAAUUCGUAGAUAUCAGGAGGAACAACGGCGGCGAAGGCGGUUCUCUGGACAGUCACUGACGCUGAGGCGCGAAAGCGUGGGGAGCAAAC